ACGGAGGGUGCAAGCGUUAAUCGGAAUCACUGGGCGUAAAGCGCACGUAGGCUGUUAUGUAAGUCAGGGGUGAAAGCCCACGGCUCAACCGUGGAACUGCCCUUGAUACUGCACGACUCGAAUCCGGGAGAGGGUGGCGGAAUUCCAGGUGUAGGAGUGAAAUCCGUAGAUAUCUGGAGGAACAUCAGUGGCGAAGGCGGCCACCUGGACCGGUAUUGACGCUGAGGUGCGAAAGCGUGGGGAGCAAACAG
rnacentral:rRNA from 1 species